CUCUGUCGCCGAAGGCACUGAAGAAGAAAUACCUGCUCUGAGUUGGAAUUACCUUUGAAAUCCCUUUUCCUAGAACACUUGGGAUUACUCCCUAGGUCCAUACCCUCUGCCUCCAGAAAGUUUCUCUGAUUUACUUUUAAUUCUUCAUUUCCGCUGAUACCAUAACACUCCGGACUUGCCAAAUGACAUGUGGAGAGAAGUCAUUAGAUUUCUGAGUUGGAAUGGACCAUGGAGAGAUGGGAGUCCAGCCUGCUUGCAUUAUAGAUAAUGCCAAAGUAGAACUGCUGAAUUGUGAAAUAAAGACGACUUCCAGCCAGCUCGAGCUCUCUAGAGUCUGAAAAUUCAGGUCAUUUGGAUUUGAAAUGUAUCAUUGUACUCCAGCGAGUACAAGAAUUACAUAGAUCAUGUUAACUGGCUGGGCCCUGAUUACGCCCAUAAAAGGCCCCGGACUCA